GACGUAGGGCGCGAGCGUUGUCCGGAUUUAUUGGGCGUAAAGAGCUCGUAGGCGGCUUGUUGCGUCGACCGUGAAAACCCGGGGCUCAACUUCGGGCUUGCGGUCGAUACGGGCGGGCUAGAGUUCGGUAGGGGAGACUGGAAUUCCUGGUGUAGCGGUGAAAUGCGUAGAGAUCAGGAGGAACACCCGUGGCGAAGGCGGCUCUCUGGGUCCGCCCUGACGCUGAGGCGCGAAAGCGUGGGGAGCGAACGGG
rnacentral:rRNA from 1 species